rnacentral:rRNA from 1 species
AGUGAACGCUGGCGGCAUGCCUUACACAUGCAAGUCGAACGGUAACAGGUCUUCGGAUGCUGACGAGUGGCGAACGGGUGAGUAAUACAUCGGAACGUGCCCGAGAGUGGGGGAUAACGAAGCGAAAGCUUUGCUAAUACCGCAUACGAUCUCAGGAUGAAAGCAGGGGACCGCAAGGCCUUGCGCUCACGGAGCGGCCGAUGGCAGAUUAGGUAGUUGGUGGGAUAAAAGCUUACCAAGCCGACGAUCUGUAGCUGGUCUGAGAGGACGACCAGCCACACUGGGACUGAGACACGGCCCAGACUCCUACGGGAGGCAGCAGUGGGGAAUUUUGGACAAUGGGCGCAAGCCUGAUCCAGCCAUGCCGCGUGCAGGAUGAAGGCCUUCGGGUUGUAAACUGCUUUUGUACGGAACGAAAAGACUCUGGUUAAUACCUGGGGUCCAUGACGGUACCGUAAGAAUAAGCACCGGCUAACUACGUGCCAGCAGCCGCGGUAAUAC